rnacentral:siRNA from 1 species
CGAAACAGUAUAACGAAUUCAAA